rnacentral:rRNA from 1 species
UACGUAGGUCCCGAGCGUUGUCCGGAUUUAUUGGGCGUAAAGCGAGCGCAGGUGGUUCAUUAAGUCUGGUGUAAAAGGCAGUGGCUCAACCAUUGUAUGCAUUGGAAACUGGUAGACUUGAGUGCAGGAGAGGAGAGUGGAAUUCCAUGUGUAGCGGUGAAAUGCGUAGAUAUAUGGAGGAACACCGGUGGCGAAAGCGGCUCUCUGGCCUGUAACUGACACUGAGGCUCAAAAGCGUGGGGAGCAAACAGG